rnacentral:rRNA from 1 species
GACGAACGCUGGCGGCGUGCCUAAUACAUGCAAGUAGAACGAGCGGCGGACGGUGGAGUAAUGUCUGGGAAACUGCCUGAUGGAGGGGGAUAACUACUGGAAACGGUAGCUAAUCCCGCAUACCAUCAGCUGUGCCCAGAUGGGAUUAGCUGGUCGGUGGGGUAACGGCUCACCUUGGCGACGAGCCAUAGCUGGUCUGAGAGGAUGACCAGCCACACUGGAACUGAGACACGGUCCAGACUCCUACGGGAGGCAGCAGUGGGGAAUAUUGCACAAUGGGCGCAAGUCUGAUGCAGCCAUGCCGCGUGUGUGAAGAAGGCCUUCGGGUUGUAAAGCACUUUCAUCGGGGAGGCGUUACCCGCAGAAGAAGCACCGGCUAACUCCGUGCCAGCAGCCGCGGUAAUAC